UUAUUCCACCCUACCUUCUGACUGUCCCGGUACUAUGCAAUGACUCUUGUAGGUGAGCUCUUCUUUAGAUGAAACCUGACUUUUCCCUUCCCUAACUGAGGCCCCAAUUCUCAUCUCAUCCAUUGCAUCAGUGACAAAUGCCUGAUGAGUGUUUCUUUUCUGUCCUUAGCCUUCUCUUCAGCAGAGAAAGUUUCCCCAGAAAUAAAACUCUGAGUGUUCUACUCCUUCCUUCCACUUGCCUCCUCUAAGCACCCUCUAAAUCAGACCCAGGGCUCCAGAGGGAGUAAUCUCCUUUCUCUCGCAGCUGCUCUGAGUUUUGCCGUCUGGGCUUAGAACAGCUUGAAGUUAGCACAAAGGCGAAUGAAGCUUUAAAUCUCCAGCACUUAACAGCUUCUCUGCAGCCUCAGAGGAUCCUCAAACAACGCUGCAGCCUAGGGAGAAAAGGAAAUGUGAUAUUCAUUGAGAUUCCUCAUGUCCCAGGGGAGAACCGAGUGCCCAGCCAACAGCCAGCACCAACCACUGCACCUGGGACUGAGUCCAUCUUGCCCUUCCAGCUCUGUUGACCUCCCAGGGGACUGCAGCAACAGGACUGAGCCCAGGUGAGCCCAGCAGAGGAAACGCCCAGCUGAUCCACGAAUCAUGAGGCAUAAUCAAUUGUUUUACAAUACUAAAAUUUAUAUGUAAUCAAAUAAAAAUAUAUGUUGGUGAAGUGAUAUUGCA
rnacentral:lncRNA from 1 species